GACGAACGCUGGCGGCGUGCUUAACACAUGCAAGUCGAACGGAAAGGCCCUGCUUUUGUGGGGUGCUCGAGUGGCGAACGGGUGAGUAACACGGGAGUAACCUGCCCUGUACUUUGGGAUAACUUCAGGAAACUGGGGCUAAUACCGGAUAGGAGCUCCUGCUGCAUGGUGGGGGUUGGAAAGUUUCGGCGGUUGGGGAUGGACUCGCGGCUUAUCAGCUUGUUGGUGGGGUAGUGGCUUACCAAGGCUUUGACGGGUAGCCGGCCCGAGAGGGUGACCGGCCACAUUGGGACUGAGAUACGGCCCAGACUCCUACGGGAGGCAGCAGUGGGGAAUAUUGCACAAUGGGCUGAAGCCUGAUGCAGCAACGCCGCGUGCGGGAUGACGGCCUUCGGGUUGUAACCCGCUUUCGCCUGUGACGAAGCGUGAGUGACGGUAAUGGGUAAAGAAGCACCGGCUAACUACGUG
rnacentral:rRNA from 1 species